rnacentral:lncRNA from 1 species
AUGGUGGUGGCCGUGGUGCUGGCAGCUGGGUUGUGCCCUCUGCAGAGCCAUGGCGGCCCCAGGGCUGCGCGGCACACAUCUGAGGAGCUGUAGGUGUGACUGGUGGGAAUGAAAUGACCAAGGCCCAGCGGGCAAUUCCUGGGGGUGUAGCCCCAACCAUCUUCUGUGGGAUCCUGGACCAUCGCCUCCCAGCCUACAUCCUAUAUGAGGACUAGCAGUGUCUUGUGUUCCCUGAGGUGGCUCCAUAGGCUCCUGUGCACUUUCUGGUCAUUCCUAAGAAGCCCAUUCCUCGGAUUAACCAGGCUGAAGAAGAAGACAGCAGCUUCUUGGACACCUACUCCUUGUGUGUAAGAAGAUAGCAAGGGCUGAGGGCCUAGGAGAUGGAUACCAACUUGAGAUCAAUGAUGAGAAGCUGGGUGAACAAUCCGUAAAUGACCUGCACAUUCACUUACUUGGGAGCUGACAGCUCCAGUGGCCUCCA